rnacentral:ncRNA from 1 species
GUCUGUGNAGCCCUUAGACGUUCUGGGCCGCACGCGCGCUACACUGACGGAGCCAGCGAGCUUUCCUUAGCCGAGAGGUUUGGGUAAUCUUGUGAAACUCCGUCGUGCUGGGGAUAGAGCAUUGUAAUUAUUGCUCUUCAACGAGGAAUUCCUAGUAAGCGCAAGUCAUCAGCUUGCGUUGAUUACGUCCCUGCCCUUUGUACACACCGCCCGUCGCUAGUACCGAUUGAAUGGCUUAGUGAGGCUUCAGGAUUUGCUUAGAUCGAGGGGCAACUCUCUUUCAGAGCGGAGAAUCUAGUCAAACUUGGUCAUUUAGAGGAACUAAAAGUCGUAACAAGGUUUCCGUAGGUGAACCUGCGGAAGGAUCAUUA